UUCGAGUGGCGGCUCGGAUAUUGAAAGUAGUAAUUGAAAAAUCAUUGCAGUGAUCCCAGGGAAGGAAAGCUCGAGUCGUUCCACCUGUGUUUUCUGUUCCUGAUCACUUGAGUUUUGCUUUUAAGGCAAAGAGCUUUUAAUUAAAAAGGUAAUUAGGAAGUGUGAAGGAGCGACAGGGACGGUGGCCCCGAUCAUAUGUCAUUUAGCGUACUAUCGCUUCUGAACCUUAAGUCGGCUUUGUGAGUUCGAAGUGGCUGUUUUUACAAAAAUAAAAGUAUCCAGGCCCGGAGUCCAGCCCUUUCAUCACAAGCCGUAUAUGUAUGUGGUUGCCCAGCCCUGGAAGUGUGAGCAGCCUGAAGUGAGAGAUGCUGUAAGUGAACACUGCACAUUGACAAGUACCCAUCCCUUCCCCCAAAGCGUGUAAAAUACCCCAUUAAUAGUAAUAGUGCAUCUAUUAUACUCCAGCGAUGUGUUGGAUUAAAUAAAACAUUUUAUGUCACUC
rnacentral:lncRNA from 1 species